rnacentral:rRNA from 1 species
GAUGAAGCCCUUCGGGGUGGAUUAGUGGCGAACGGGUGAGUANCACGUGGGCAAUCUGCCCUUCACUCUGGGACAAGCCCUGGAAACGGGGUCUAAUACCGGAUAACACCUGCCCGGGCAUCUGGGUGGGUUAAAAGCUCCGGCGGUGAAGGAUGAGCCCGCGGCCUAUCAGCUUGUUGGUGAGGUAGUGGCUCACCAAGGCGACGACGGGUAGCCGGCCUGAGAGGGCGACCGGCCACACUGGGACUGAGACACGGCCCAGACUCNUACGGGAGGCAGCAGUGGGGAAUAUUGCACAAUGGGCGAAAGCCUGAUGCAGCGACGCCGCGUGAGGGAUGACGGCCUUCGGGUUGUAAACCUCUUUCAGCAGGGAAGAAGCGAAAGUGACGGUACCUGCAGAAGAAGCGCCGGCUAACUACGUGCCAGCAGCCGCGGUAAUACGUAGGGCGCAAGCGUUGUCCGGAAUUAUUGGGCGUAAAGAGCUCGUAGGCGGCUUGUCACGUCGGGUGUGAAAGCCCGGGGCUUAACCCCGGGUCUGCAUUCGAUACGGGCUAGCUAGAGUGUGGUAGGGGAGAUCGGAAUUCCUGGUGUAGCGGUGAAAUGCGCAGAUAUCAGGAGGAACACCGGUGGCGAAGGCGGAUCUCUGGGCCAUUACUGACGCUGAGGAGCGAAAGCGUGGGGAGCGAACAGGAUUAGAUACCCUGGUAGUCCACGCCGUAANCGGUGGGAACUAGGUGUUGGCGACAUUCCACGUCGUCGGUGCCGCAGCUAACGCAUUAAGUUCCCCGCCUGGGGAGUACGGCCGCAAGGCUAAAACUCAAAGGAAUUGACGGGGGCCCGCACAAGCAGCGGAGCAUGUGGCUUAAUUCGACGCAACGCGAAGAACCUUACCAAGGCUUGACAUACACCGGAAACGGCCAGAGAUGGUCNCCCCCUUGUGGUCGGUGUACAGGUGGUGCAUGGCUGUC